rnacentral:rRNA from 1 species
GAUGAACGCUGGCGGCGUGCUUAACACAUGCAAGUCGAACGGAAAGGCUCCUGCUUGCAGGGGUACUCGAGUGGCGAACGGGUGAGUAACACGUGGGUGAUCUGCCCUGCACUUCGGGAUAAGCCUGGGAAACUGGGUCUAAUACCGGAUAGGACCACAUUUUGGAUGGUGUGGUGGAAAGUUUUUCGGUGUGGGAUGAGCUCGCGGCCUAUCAGCUUGUUGGUGGGGUAAUGGCCUACCACGGCGUCGACGGGUAGCCGGCCUGAGAGGGUGUACGGCCACAUUGGGACUGAGAUACGGCCCAGACUGCUACGGGAGGCAGCAGGGGGGAAUAUUGCACAAUGGGCGCAAGCCUGAUGCAGCGACGCCGCGUGGGGGAUGACGGCCUUCGGGUUGUAAACUCCUUUCGCUAGGGACGAAGCGCAAGUGACGGUACCUGGAGAAGAAGCACCGGCUAACUACGUG